rnacentral:rRNA from 1 species
UGCAGUCGAGCGGUAGCACAGAGAGCUUGCUCUCGGGUGACGAGCGGCGGACGGGUGAGUAAUGUCUGGGAAACUGCCUGAUGGAGGGGGAUAACUACUGGAAACGGUAGCUAAUACCGCAUAACGUCGCAAGACCAAAGUGGGGGACCUUCGGGCCUCAUGCCAUCAGAUGUGCCCAGAUGGGAUUAGCUGGUAGGUGGGGUAACGGCUCACCUAGGCGACGAUCCCUAGCUGGUCUGAGAGGAUGACCAGCCACACUGGAACUGAGACACGGUCCAGACUCCUACGGGAGGCAGCAGUGGGGAAUAUUGCACAAUGGGCGCAAGCCUGAUGCAGCCAUGCCGCGUGUGUGAAGAAGGCCUUCGGGUUGUAAAGCACUUUCAGCGGGGAGGAAGGCGGUGAGGUUAAUAACCUCACCGAUUGACGUUACCCGCAGAAGAAGCACCGGCUAACUCCGUGCCAGCAGCCGCGGUAAUACGGAGGGUGCAAGCGUUAAUCGGAAUUACUGGGCGUAAAGCGCACGCAGGCGGUCUGUCAAGUCGGAUGUGAAAUCCCCGGGCUCAACCUGGGAACUGCAUUCGAAACUGGCAGGCUAGAGUCUUGUAGAGGGGGGUAGAAUUCCAGGUGUAGCGGUGAAAUGCGUAGAGAUCUGGAGGAAUACCGGUGGCGAAGGCGGCCCCCUGGACAAAGACUGACGCUCAGGUGCGAAAGCGUGGGGAGCAAACAGGAUUAGAUACCCUGGUAGUCCACGCUGUAAACGAUGUCGAUUUGGAGGUUGUGCCCUUGAGGCGUGGCUUCCGGAGCUAACGCGUUAAAUCGACCGCCUGGGGAGUACGGCCGCAAGGUUAAAACUCAAAUGAAUUGACGGGGGCCCGCACAAGCGGUGGAGCAUGUGGUUUAAUUCGAUGCAACGCGAAGAACCUUACCUGGUCUUGACAUCCACAGAACUUUCCAGAGAUGGAUUGGUGCCUUCGGGAACUGUGAGACAGGUGCUGCAUGGCUGUCGUCAGCUCGUGUUGUGAAAUGUUGGGUUAAGUCCCGCAACGAGCGCAACCCUUAUCCUUUGUUGCCAGCGGUNAGGCCGGGAACUCAAAGGAGACUGCCAGUGAUAAACUGGAGGAAGGUGGGGAUGACGUCAAGUCAUCAUGGCCCUUACGACCAGGGCUACACACGUGCUACAAUGGCAUAUACAAAGAGAAGCGACCUCGCGAGAGCAAGCGGACCUCAUAAAGUAUGUCGUAGUCCGGAUUGGAGUCUGCAACUCGACUCCAUGAAGUCGGAAUCGCUAGUAAUCGUAGAUCAGAAUGCUACGGUGAAUACGUUCCCGGGCCUUGUACACACCGCCCGUCACACCAUGGGAGUGGGUUGCAAAAGAAGUAGGUAGCUUAACCUUCGGGAGGGCGCU